ACUAAACCGGGAUGGGAACUAAACCGGGAUGGACUCUCCCGGUUCCCGGCUGUCCAUGCCCGUCCCGGUGUUCCAGGACCUGUUUCUCUGCGUUUUAAAGCGCUCCUGGACACACUGCGCGGGGCCAGGGCGGAGGGGGCUCAGGGUGCUCGUCUCCGCUCCUCCAGGGCUUUCUUCACGCCAUCACAGAUCGGGUUGUGCUGGAAAAGACCUCGGAGAUCCUCGAAUCCAGCCUUUGACUGAGCACCCCCGUGCCACCCCGACCAGGGCACUGAGUGCCGCAUCCAGCCUUUCCUGACACACCUCCGGGACAGUGACUGCACUGGGCAGCCCAUUCCAAUGUCUAAUCAUCCCUCCUGUGAAUAAACCCUUCCUGCUGUCCAACCUAAACCUCCCCCGAUGGGUCCUCUCCUCCGUCCCUGGUCACCUGGGAGAAGAGACCGGUCCCCACCUGGCUACAGCCUCCUGUCAGGGGGCUGGGAGAGCAAUAAGCUCACCCCUGAGCCUCCUCUUCUCCAGCCUAAACAUUCCCAGCCUCUCCUCACAGGACUCCAGACCGUUCCCUUCUCUGGACGCGCUUCAGCCCCUCAAUGUCCCUCCUGAACUGAGGGGACCAGAACUGGACACAGCACUUGAGGAGUGGCCUCACCAGCUCCCAGUAUAGGGGAAGAAACAUUUAGUUUAAACCUAAAACUAAGAGAUCCCGAGCCUGCUGUCCUGGGAUCUCACAUAAACAACCAGGGAGCCCGAGCUAAGAGCUGCCAUGCCAAAUCCUCCCUUAAAGAGCUGGGCCAAGGGUGCAGUUUGUGCAGGAGGCUGCAGCCACCACAGGUGCAGAUACAGGAUCUGUAGCAGUCAGACUGCACGGUGCAGUUCAAGGGCUGCAGGUUUUGGGUGAAGAAGUAACUGAAGAUAAAACCCCAGCAGGUGCUUUAAGCUGCCUUUGCCAGAUUUUAAUCGAUAUUAAUUCGGGCAAAAUUGAGAGAUACAGCAAGGCAGAGGCAAUCAUCUUAGUGUUCCUAAUCAACUUGUGCUUCGCCUGGAAGGGGAAAUGAAAAAGUGCCUUAACACCAGAGUUUCUGCAUCAGAGGCCACUUUUCCAGAACAGGUCACUGCCAGUGACCCAGUUCACUGAAGAUGGACUAUUUAACCUUGUCUGACUCACUGGGAAUUAGGAACAGCUCAUCAGCCCCACACAUGCCAUUGCUCCUCUCCUGCAGCUGAAGACCCUACACAUCCCCCACCCUGACAGGCGAGCCUUCCCACCACAGUCCUGGGGCUGGGGAAUCACCCUCCUGUGAGGUGCAAACCCUUGAUGCCAAGGGCUCAGGGCCGGGAUCCUUGUCGGAUCCAGCCCAGGUAAAAGGAUCUGCAUGGCCAGGAGCCCACCCUGCCCCUCUGCUGGAGGUCACUGUCCCUCACACCGUGUGACAGCUCAGGGCACGAUGGCAAACUGCCACUCACUUUGGUUUGCACUGAGUUUACCUUCACGCCGAGUGGAGACUUUGAUUUAUGGUUCCUGUGGCAGCAGGAGUCUGGUUAGCUUUUGCUACUAAAUCAGACAAGGAUCUCUAGAUCCUAGAUCUCUAAGAUCUCUCUCAAGGUCUCUAGAUCUCUAAGGAACUAGACAGGAACCUCAAUUUCCAAAAGAUGCCCAUAAACCCAGCAAAUUGCAUUGGUCACUCCUCUUUCACAUUCUUAGUAAGGACUUCAUAAUCACGUAAGAAGUGGUUAUGUAAUUAAAAAGAUUUAGUACACUCAUCAGUUUCAUUAUCCUGCAUCAACUAUGCUUUGUUUUAAUUUUAUUGUUAUUUAAUUUGUGGUGCAGCCUUCACAGUGCUCUCAUCAUCUGUGAAGCUGCAGCCUCUGGAUUCUGUUGUGGGAGGAUUCUGCCUCCCUGCCCAGGUGCUGCUGCAACACAGAGGGCAAGGCUGGAACUGGGAUUAUCCUUAGCUCCUCCCUGCCAGCUUUUUGGGUGUCCUGAAUAUGGGCAGAAAUGUCUGUUCCAGAAGAGUGUGAAGAGUUCUGAGUUCCCAUCAUCACAUCAGAAGCUGUUGCAGCCUUUCCUCCCAGUAGUGCUGAGUGGUUGUCACCUAUUUGUGUCACCACAGGCUGUGUUUGUGCACACCUCAGGAUCAGAGCACGCUGCUGCCCAGGGCCCCAGUGCUGCUAUCAUCCAAACUGACUUUUAAGUAUUUUUCCAUCAGAGAAAGCCAGGAGGAGAAUGGGAAUGGUAUGCAUCUAGGUCUCUGUGCACUCAAGACUCCUUAGGAUGCACACAUGAAUGCAAAACCCUGAAAGCCUCCAAGUUUUCCAGCCUAGAUGGCAUUCAAAAAUCAGAGAAUAAAUUCAAAGUCAUGACAGAACUGUAUUAAUGAUGAUGUAAUUUUAUACCUGAUUUCUUCUCUUAAAAUAGACAGAAUUAGUUAACACUUUCAUUGUCAAGGAAUAACAACAUUGUAUUACCUGGCCCAUACAAGUAUAAACUGAACUCAAAACAGUUAUUUACUUUAGCUGUGCUUUCAGAAUUAAUGGAUCCAAAGAAAUGCAAGAAAGUGGUUUACACUGGGUGGUAAUUACAAAAUGCUGCCCAGGUUUGUCAGAACAGCGUGGCUGUGUCUUGCCCUGAGAAUCUCAGUGACAAAGAAAUACGAGUGUGGAGCACCACCAGUGAUCACAAUUCUCUUAAACUUUGAGGAGUGGAGGUGAUGCUGUUUGAAAAGAGGCCCCCAGGGCCUGUGCUGAUGCCAUCUCCCAGAUCCAGUCUGUGGAAUAUCCCUCAGCAUGAGGAGGAGCUGGCAGUGCCAGAGCUACAGCAGGACAAGCCCCUGCUGGGCAAGACAGUGUGAGCCACGGGGCUCCUGGCAGCAGAACAAAAGCAAUGCAGGUGUUCCCUGCCAUCUGCACUGCUGUGCAGCAGCUGCUCUGUGCAGCUUUGAGCCCUGAGAUUUUUGCCUUCAGGACAUCAUCUCUGGCAGCUGUAUCCUGCUUUUGGCUGGAAUAGAGUUAAUUUCCUUCCCAGUAGCUGGUACAGGGCUGUGGUUUGGAUUCAGAAUGAGAACAACGUUCACAGCAACAAUUAAAACAUCAGUGUGUUAAGCAGUGCUUACUCUAAAUCCAGGACAUUCCAGUGCCUCGUGCUCUGCCAGUGAGGAGCUGAGGGAGCGUGGCCAGGACAGCUGACCCGAGCUGGCCAGAGGGAUAUUCCUCACCACAGAGUGUCGUGUCCAUAUGGACUGGGGGGAUGACCACUGCUCAGGGACAGGCUGGGCAGUGGUCAGGGGGGUCAGCAGCUGGACUGUGCAUCACUUGUCUGUCGUGGGCUUUAUUCAUCUCUCUUUUUCCUAUUAUUGUUGUUGUUAUUAUUUUUUACUUUAUUUCAAGUAUUGAACUUAUCUCAAUCCACGAGUUUUGCCAUUUUUCAAUUCCCCUCCCCAUCCCACAGAAGGGGGAGGCGGGCGAGUGAGUGAGCAGCUGCUGGUACUUAGCUGCCAUCUGGGAUUAAACAACAAGAAGCUGCUUUGCUUUAAGACAUGACAGCCUUUACCAGUCUCACAGCCUCUCUGCCAGGAGUUACAGCUGGUGGGAAGAGGAGCAGAGGCAGGGCCACUAUGCUGGAAUUCUCUGGCCAAAGCCUAUUUUUCCACCAGCACUCAGGCUGUGCUGGAGCUGGGAGAGUUUGCUUAUCUCCCUGAGGAUUCUCCAAGCCUGGAGCAAGCACAGGGCUGUCUGGCUAACCCAGACACAUCCUGCACAUCUGCACAGACCAGGGCUCUGAGGCUCUCAGGAAGCCUUGGCCUCCCGUGCCUCCCAGGCACAGGAAUCCAGAUGGAAGUCUGGUGGUGCUAGGCAAAACAGGCUGUGCUUCCAAAGCACGGCUGCAGCACAUCACAGCCUGAUAUUUUGGAAGCAGCUUCAUCCUUUGGCUGCUUCAGCUCCAACUGUGCGCUGAGCUGGCUGAGUCAUGGUCCCACAUCCUGAUUCCAGGGCAGUGACACUUGGCAGUGGGAAUUACCCCCAGUGCUGGGCAAGGCCAGGUCUUCCAUCUCCACAGGCACUUCCGUGGGACUGUGGCUGCUGGAGCCCAUCCUUCAAGCAUCUCCCCUGGCUGGCAAAUUUGCUGGGAUAAUAGAAAAGGAUAAAAACAACUCCCCUGGUUCUGGAAGGGCUUUGGCAGAGCUGUGGGUGCACCCGCACAAAUGCACAGUGGGAACAAGUCAAGGGUGUGUUGCCUUAAUUAAUCCUUUCAUGACAGUCACAAGCUAAUUUGCUGAAGGUUAAUUGCACUGUAAAUAGCAAGAGGGGUGGUGUUCUGCUUGCAACAGAUGGCAGCCACCAAGAAAUGUUGAUGAGACUGUUGUUUGGAAAAGGGGAAGAAACAGCAAAGUUUCUCUAGGACCCUGCCUUGAAAGGGAACUGAGAAGGGAAGCCCUUUACUCUGUGCAUCUUUUGAAAGGGGAGGAAAUAAAGAAUGGCUGUGUUUUCUCUCUGGGAAUGGUAUGCUGCUAGGAAUAUAAUCCUGACCUCCUUUAGGUGGGCACUUACUCUGUUUAUGGUUUUACUGACCUCUUGGGGCUUUGCCUGGGAUUAGGAACUGACACAUGGACUGCAGCCAACCUGCAGCAUCACAGUCCCAGUCUGCAAAAAUAACACACCUGCUAAUCCCAGCAGACACCCUCGGGGAGAUCCCAUUGCUGCUGCUGCAGAGCAGGGCACAGGGGAGUCACCUGCUGCCACACGGCAAGGGAAGGGCCACGGACAGGAGCUCCUGUACAGACUGCAGAAGGGACAGAGCCUCCUCUCCUGUUCUGCAUCCAGAAAAACUCCUUGGACUCCGAGGAAAUGUCCUGGGCCUGCAGUGCUCUGUACCUAAAAGAAAGGAGCCCUUUGUGAGGAUCCCCUCGCAGCAGCCCCCCAUACCACCCUCAGCAUCCUGGCAGGACACUCGUCUGCAUUCAGCACUCCUGGCUUUCCAGGGAGAAAAAUCCUCCCCAAAGACACCACCAGGUGUCCAUUCCACUGAUUUCUGCCAAAAUAAAUACCUUUGCUCUCCCCAGAGGAAUUUCUCCUAAAAGGAUCAGCUUCUGUUUGCUGUCUUGAAAUAAACAGUCUCCCUCAACUGCACCAAGUUCCCUAGCCUGUCUCAUUCCUAAAGCCUGGAGGGAGUUCCAAGGAAAUUACUUGAGCUUUCCCUUCUGCUCUUGCAUGAAGCAGAUGAGGUCCCUGACCGCAUGACAAUCACUUCAUCAUAAUUGCAGCUCUCCUCUGAACCUUCCCUGUAAAUACAGCGCAGGGUGACCUGGAAGGAAACCAUGCUCUUCACAGGGCUUCCUUGCAGACCAUAAUUUGCAAGGCAAGGAUUUAGGUAGAAGAAUCCUUGCCUUUUCCUUGGAUUGAGGUAGAAGAAUCCUUGCCAAGUGCCCAAGCUGCGGGCUCAGCCCGUGUUCCCUUCUGAGUUACUGCUGUCAUACACCCGGCACCCCUGGCUUUGGCAACACCCCUGGAAUUCCCUGGGUGUGGCAAAGCCAUUGCCCGGGGGCACAAGAGACUCGGGCAGUGCCAGGGCGGGAUUUAUCACAGGGGCACGGGAUAAAAUCGGAACGGUGUGCAGAGGAAGAAAGCCAUGGAGGUGACCGUGCCUUGUCCCCCGAAGGGAGCUGUCCCCUGCUCCAGCAGGGAAUGGCUGUGCCGGUCUCCUGUUAUUCCGGGCAGUGACAGCCCGGAUUCCUCGGGAGAGGGGAGACCCGGAGCCGCAGAGGUGGAAAAUCCCAAUCAAAACAAAGCAAUUUGCACUUCACAGACGGGUUUAGCGCUGCUCAUUAAUUAGGUUCUGGUGACCUCUAGAGGCCCUGAGCCCACAGCACCUCAUUUCUGCCGAUCUCUCCUGAAACAAUGAGCACGAGAAUUCUGCUUUAUUUUAGCUUCAAACCAAGAUUCAUUUUAGCCUUAGCGAGGAAGGCAUUGAGGAACAGUAAUUGAUUAUUAUUCUUUUCUUGUUGUUCUUUUCCUCCCACUAAACGCGGUAAUAAUAAUCCCCUGUGUGCACAGCCUCAAAGCCUGCACAGUAACUGUGGAAAUAGUCACAUUUUUAAAAGAAAUUUGCUUUGUGCAUCAUCAGUAAGAGAGGAACUACUUCUCUCCUGUAUCUCUGAUGAUAUAUUCAUAUCUAAUCACUGAUCCUGGAAAAACUGCCCACCUCUCUGGUGAGAUAAUCCCAUUGCUUACAAGUAUCUAAAUUGUGUGGGGUUGAGAUCCAGGGUUGCAGAACACACACAGCCUUUUGUGCACGAGUCCUUGCAAGGCAGAGCUCAAACCCCGUGCUGGCUGUCUCAGACUGGAGCAUGACCAUCUUUUCUGAAAAAUUAUUCUCAGCUGCAAGCAGGGGAAAAUUGACAAUCCACCAGUUUCAGGGCCAAGCAACACUGUAUGUAGGAAAAUUACCUUCUGCCUGUAUUGUAAAACAACAAUCAAAUUGCCUGCAGGGAAGAGUGAUGCAAGAAAACGGCUGAGAUACAGGACUGAAACCAUACCAAGGAACUAAGAGAAUUGGAAGGAGAGAGGAAGAGGAGUGAGACCUGGCCAGAGAGACACACUGGGGAGUUAACUGAGAGGCUGAAAGCCAUGGAGAAGCUUAGCAAGAAACAGAAAAUCUGGAGGAGGUGAAGCAUAUCUGCAGCACUGCACAACUCUUCAGCAAACUUGCAGGGAUGUGUGGGAGAACUCCUAAAGAUUUCUAAUUUAAGAGCACCCAGCUGUACUUCCAGAUUUAGCUAUUAGCUGGUUUUCCUACGCAACACCCCCCCUCAGAAAUAAAAAAAAAAAAAAGGUUUUUGUCCUCUCCUUUCCUAAUGGACCUCCUACCAACUCUUUAAUGGCAACAUUUGUUUGGUGACAACAUUCCUGGAGGCUACAGCCAGGGCAGUUUGUGCAUCCAUCUUAGUAACCAAUAGCACAGGAUUCUCUCUUGCUUGAUAGAUGUCUGUGUUCCCACAAGACAGGGGAAAAGUGUAUGUUUUGGUAAUAAUUUGUUGUUGUUGUUUUCUUAUGGCAUAAUGAUGGAUAAGGUUUUUGGGAAAAAAGAAAAUUUAAUUAUUUUCUAGGGGUGUGUUUUCUUUUUCAUAUUCUCUUGCUUUGUUCUUCUCCUUUGCUGUGUAGGCAAUAGAGCUAAAGGGAUUUCAUGCCUCAAAACAGAAAGGAAUUCUGAGCUACUGAGGGGAACUAAAAAUGGAGGAGGGGAGAAAGGUUUAAAAAUGGAUUUAAAAAGAAUUUUUAUUCAGAUUGUGUAAAAACUCUUCUGAGACUGAUUGAAUCAAAACUCCUGAGAAACACAUGGAAGAAAAGCUCAAUUUGUUAAAUAUCUGCAUUCUCCUCUAUCUUCUAAGUGCAGCCUACAAAACUAAUUUGAUUUUGUUGGUCCUCCGAGAAGUCCUUUAGCAAGAGAAGGCUGGGGGGUGGGGAACCUCUCUUUUUUGAUAUUUGUGAGAUAAAAAGAAACCCAAGCUCUAAGGCCACUUGCAUAAGCUUUGUAAAGCUCUCUGAAUUAAAACAGAAAAAGCAUUUCUUUUGUAGUUGCCAAGAAAUGCUGGCUCCAUAGAGUGCACAAGCGUGUUUAAUUUACACAGGUUGGUUGGCUGGAUACUUUUGAUCAAUAGUAUCACAGUGCUAAUCAGAAAAUGACAGGUACUUUUCAUGUGGACUUUUUCUGGGUAAAACUUUUGAACUUUUCUAAUCUCUUAACUGAAAAUGAGGAAAAAAUAUUGCUCCUACCUUG